rnacentral:rRNA from 1 species
UACGUAGGGUGCAAGCGUUAUCCGGAAUUAUUGGGCGUAAAGAGCUCGUAGGCGGUUUGUCACGUCUGCUGUGAAAACUGGAGGCUCAACCUCCAGCCUGCAGUGGGUACGGGCAGACUAGAGUGCGGUAGGGGAGAUUGAAAUUCCUGGUGUAGCGGUGGAAUGCGCAGAUAUCAGGAGGAACACCGAUGGCGAAGGCAGAUCUCUGGGCCGUAACUGACGCUGAGGAGCGAAAGCAUGGGGAGCGAACAGG